GACAGAGGGUGCAAACGUUGUUCGGAAUUACUGGGCGUAAAGCGCGUGUAGGCGGCUAAGUAAGUCGGGCGUGAAAUGCCGGGGCUCAACCCCGGGACUGCGUCCGAUACUUCCGAGCUGGAGGUAGGUAGGGGAGAUCGGAAUUCCUGGUGUAGCGGUGAAAUGCGCAGAUAUCAGGAGGAACACCGGUGGCGAAGGCGGAUCUCUGGGCCUUACCUGACGCUGAGGCGCGAAAGCUAGGGGAGCGAACAGG
rnacentral:rRNA from 1 species